rnacentral:rRNA from 1 species
AUUGAACGCUGGCGGCAUGCCUAACACAUGCAAGUCGAACGGCAGCACGGUCCGGGUAACCGGAUGGGUGGCGAGUGGCGCACGGGUGAGUAAUGCGUAGGAAUAUGCCUUGAAGUGGGGGAUAACUUGGGGAAACUCAAGCUAAUACCGCAUAAGCUCUAAGGAGGAAAGCUGGGGACCUGAAAGGGCCUGGUGCUUUAAGAUUAGCCUACGUCCGAUUAGUUAGUUGGUGGGGUAAAGGCCUACCAAGGCGAUGAUCGGUAGCUGGUCUGAUAGGAUGGUCAGCCACACUGGGACGGGGACACGGCCCAGACUCCUACGGGAGGCAGCAGUGGGGAAUAUUGGACAAUGGGGGCAACCCUGAUCCAGCGAUGCCGCGUGUGUGAAGAAGGCCUACGGGUUGUAAAGCACUUUCGGUGGGGAGGAGGUCUUAUAUGUUAAGAGCUAAUAAGAUGGACGUUACCCACAAAAGAAGCACCGGCUAACUCCGUGCCAGCAGCCGCGGUAAAAC